rnacentral:rRNA from 1 species
UACGUAGGGGGCAAGCGUUGUCCGGAAUCAUUGGGCGUAAAGCGCACGUAGGCGGCUUUUUAAGUCAGAGGUGAAAUCCUGGAGCUCAACUCCAGAACUGCCUUUGAUACUGAGAGGCUUGAGUCCGGGAGAGGUGAGUAGAACUGCGAGUGUAGAGGUGAAAUUCGUAGAUAUUCGCAGGAACACCAGUGGCGAAGGCGGCUCACUGGCCCGGUACUGACGCUGAGGUGCGAAAGCGUGGGGAGCAACAGG